CGAUGUUCCUCUCUCAUCCAUGUUCCUAUCCCUUCUCCCUCUCCCUUCCUCUCUCUGAAAUCAAUAAAAACAUAUUUUUAAAACUGAAUAAAGUUUGUCCUCUUCAGGCUACUAAGGAGGCAGCCACGGACCAGGAGCAAGAUUCUCCCGGAACUGCCUUCUGACCUCGCAGAACGUCAAUGUAAAGCGAUCUAAGUUGAAUGCACUCUUGAAAAACGAGGUGGGUGUAGAAGAAAAAGAAGUUUCUUCUGAAGCCUUGAAAAGGAGCACCCGCCUAUCGCACAGGGCCACAAUCGCUGAGAGUUUAUGGUGAGGAUUUGCUGACAUGGGUGUGUGUCUGCCUGGACGCCUGGUGCAUCAGCAGCUGGUCAGGAAGCCGGUGAGCACUCCUGGGGACUGAGCAACCUGCCCCAGGGCUGUGGAGGCCGGACUGAAAGCCACACACUGGACUGUGUGACCCGCUUCCCUUGACUGUGCGGUGACUCAGAUUUGCCUUCUAAAGGGGCAGAAAAUUAAACAGCCAACAGGCUCUCCUGACAUGUCAGAUCAACGGUGUUUCCUUCUCUCCACACCAAAUGAUGAUAAAGAAAUUGGGGCUUAGAGAAGAUACUAUCCUUGGAGAUGUGGUGACAACCAAUCCCUUUUCUUAGCUAAGAGGAUGAAGCUGGCUGAGAGGGUGUCUCCUUCCUGAAGAUGCAAACAUUUCUAAAUCAAGACGUGCCUACCAAGUCCUGCGUUGAAGAGUGAGCCAAGAAAGGUGAGCGUUCAGAGCUGAUUCUGGAAGCCACAAAACAGAGCCAGAGAAUCUGCAAACUACAGAGACAAAAGCAGGUGGGAAUGCUGGACAGGAUGGAAGUUUCCAGGCUAACACCUGGGGCAGUUUUGAUGUCCCUCAUGUCCAUAUUAGUUUGUCCAGAUGGGUCAGGUGUGGGUGGGACAGUCAAGAUCUGGGACCAAUCUGUUCCAAUAUAAAGCUUAG